rnacentral:rRNA from 1 species
UGGAUUGGUGCCUUCGGGAACUGUGAGACAGGUGCUGCAUGGCUGUCGUCAGCUCGUGUUGUGAAAUGUUGGGUUAAGUCCCGCAACGAGCGCAACCCUUAUCCUUUGUUGCCAGCGGUCCGGCCGGGAACUCAAAGGAGACUGCCAGUGAUAAACUGGAGGAAGGUGGGGAUGACGUCAAGUCAUCAUGGCCCUUACGACCAGGGCUACACACGUGCUACAAUGGCGCAUACAAAGAGAAGCGACCUCGCGAGAGCAAGCGGACCUCAUAAAGUGCGUCGUAGUCCGGAUUGGAGUCUGCAACUCGACUCCAUGAAGUCGGAAUCGCUAGUAAUCGUGGAUCAGAAUGCCACGGUGAAUACGUUCCCGGGCCUUGUACACACCGCCCGUCACACCAUGGGAGUGGGUUGCAAAAGAAGUAGGUAGCUUAACCUUCGGGAGGGCGCUUACCACUUUGUGAUUCAUGACUGGGGUGAAGUCGUAACAAGGUAAGCGUAGCGAG